GACGGAGGAGGCGAGCGUUAUCCGGAUUUACUGGGCGUCAAGGGCGCGUAGGCGGCCUGACAGGUCGUGGGUGAAAGCCCCAGGCUCAACCUGGGGAGGUCCUGCGAUACCAUCAGGCUUGAGGAUCGUAGAGGGGGGCGGAAUGUCCGGUGGAGCGGUGGAAUGCGUAGAUAUCGGACGGAACACCCGAGGCGAAGGCGGCCCCCUGGGCGACACCUGACGCUGAGGCGCGAAAGCGUGGGGAGCAAAGCGG
rnacentral:rRNA from 1 species